rnacentral:rRNA from 1 species
CAAUAGCGUAUAUUAAAGUUGUUGCAGUUAAAAAGCUCGUAGUCGGAUUUCGGGUCGGGCCGAGCGGUCUGCCGAUGGGUAUGCACUGUUUGGCGCGGCCUUCUUUCCGGAGACCGCGGCUACUCUUAACUGAGCGGGCGUGGGAGACGGAUCGUUUACUUUGAAAAAAUCAGAGUGUUUCUAGCAGGCAGCUCGCUCUUGCAUAGGUUAGCAUGGGAUAAUUUAAUAGGACUCUGGUGCUAUUUUGUUGGUUUCGAACACCGGAGUAAUGAUUAAUAGGGACAGUUGGGGGCAUUCAUAUUCCAUUGUCAGAGGUGAAAUUCUUGGAUUAACGGAAGAUGAACUACUGCGAAAGCAUCUGCCAAGGAUGUUUUCAUUGAUCAAGAACGAAAGUUAGGGGAUCGAAGACGAUCAGAUACCGU